UCAACGCUCUCGAAAAUCUUCCCGAGGCGAUGUGUUAUCACACCGAAAGCUCCAGAGAAAGGGAUAGUUAUCCGCUGAGUAACAGUUGCUGUCGAUAGCUGUGAGAAAACAUGGAGAUCAUCAGGUGCCAUUAUCUGAUAAGCGAAACCUUUCUUCACCAGAAUCCCACUCACUGAAUCUCCAACAUCAGGUGUCUUCUCAGCCAAUCUCCCAAUGGUUUUCGCCAUUUUCUCAGAGUUGAAGUACAUUUCAACCGACUCACAGUUCUUCGGAUUCAUGAUCCUCGUGUUUCCAUCAGGAAACUCCGUGAAGAGUUUCUGUUUGAGCCUCAUCAUCUCGUUAGCUUCACCGUGGACAAGGAUGAUGUUUGGUGGCAUGAGCUCUUUCAAGAAAGUGCUCGUCUGCGCAUAGUCUGCGUGAGCAGAGAAGGAGAUGUAGUGCACUUGCAUGUUGAGAGGAGCAGUAAGACCGUUCAUAAGAGUCACCUCCUUGGGCUCAUUGAUGAUCGUUUUCGCCAGCGUACCUUCCACCAUAUAACCUGGUAUGAUACAUGCGUUUCUCUUAUCCGAACACCAGAUGUCAAAGAGCUGCCUCGAGAAACCGCUUUGAAGACCACCAGGACUAGCCAUAACCACAGACGGACCAACAUCUCUGAAAUCAUCGAUGCUGUUCAGCGCAGAUAUGUGCUUGAACACAAAGGGAUUAGAAUUCGCAAACUGGUUGCGGAUCCUGUCGUUCAUGGAUAAAAUGUAGGUCUGGUAAACAGAUAUGUUUGCUGGUGUUCUAUUCCUCCUCCCUCAUCUAUCACGUGGACAAAAUUAUUAUCAUUUGUCUUCUCGUUCUCUUCAAAUUGAUAGGAUCCUGCAUCAACAGAAUCACCUAGUCCCACAGCAUUCUGCCCAGUUGCAGUAUUCUGUUCAAAUAUAGUCCUUAGCUCUUCAAAAUCUUCAAACGAAUCAUCACGCAGAUAUUUAUUAUUUGGAUGAGCCUAUUAAAAAAAUCACUAUAAUAAGAAUCAUAUGUAAACAGCACCAACAUAAGCAUGAAUUUCAUAUUAUAAUUUUUUACCUGCAGAUAGACCUUCCAUACUUCAUCAUCUGCUGUGAAUUUUUUCGUUUCAGAGUCCCACCCAAAACCAGAACUACAACGAAGAAAAUCUGCAAACACUUGGUACCUACCCUUCAAGAUUUUCAUCCUAUUUUUAUACUGACCGUAGGUUUUUUUAGAUCCAACUUCUUGUUGUAGAGUUGUUAGUAUUCUGGAUUCGACCGUCAGUUUGUUGAAUUUGCCGCUGGCAUCACGAAAACCUUGAUUGAUUGCAUCCACUAGUAACCUCAAUAACAACUUGUGCUCAGGUCCAGACCAUGAGUGGUAUUGAUUGUGUAUAACAUGGGAUUUUAAAAACAGAACCAAAACAGAGAAGAUUUUGACAACAGACCUUUUGAUAGAACACCAAAGGAACAAAUCAAUCGACGUGUGCCUUAGCUCAACCUCAGAUUCUUCAGAGCACAAAACCUUUUUCUCGGAUCCAACGAAAAGCUCGAGACGAAAUCAAAUCUAACAAUCAAAGGGCUCCCUUCAGGUUUGAGAGACUCCAAAAUCGAAUCUUUGGCUUCCAAAAUUGUCGACUUGGGUAUUGAUUCAUGAACAAGAGGGAAUCAAAAGUUCAGUACUUUUCUGGAAAGCUUCAUCUCUGAUCUCUCGCUUUCUUGUUCUCUCUCUGUUCUCAUAGGUGUGGUCAAUUUUUUAUUUGAUUUUGGGUAUUUCCAAAUAACAGGUACAAUGGUGGGAUUUGUGUAACGAUAGUUUUGACUGAAAAUAACAAAAAAAAUAGUUUCAAAUCCAUUUCAUAAAGUUUUUCUUUUAAAAUUGUUUAUCAUUGAAUAACAGUAGAUUUGAUUUACUUUUAGUAAAUUGUUAAUUGAAUAACAGUGGAUUACAAGUGAUUUUAAGCUACUUUAGAUAAAUAUCAUAUUCAAUAACACAGGAUUUGAAGAAAAAAAUAGAAAUCAUUAGUUGAAUAACAGGAGAUUUUAAAGAAAUACCAAAACACUUAAAAAUCCUCAAUUCAAUACACCCCCCUUAGAAAUGAAAAUUGUAAGACUGAUUGACAAAAUCAGACUGACUAUUAGUUUAUUUAGUUUAUAGGCUUUUGAAUAGUUUGAUACUGCAUGUCGCAGUUAUAACUAAUGAAAAAUAUUUUAAGCAAUAAAAAUUGUAAGGAUAAUUAAAAAAAAUUGAUUGACAAUUAAUUUUUUAAUGAUUGCUUAGUUUGUUAUGUUGAAAAGAUGUAUUUGAGCUUGUUACCAAUUAUUCAUUGAUGAAUGAUUUUAAGAUCUGGAUUCUUAUAGAAAAUAUUACAUAAAGUAAUUUUCUGUUGAUUUUGUUCAAACAACAACUUUAUGUAAUAUUUUCCAUAAGAAUAAGAUAAUAUUUUUUUUAGAAAGUCCUAUGUAAAUAUAUGGUCCUAUUAAAAUUAUAAAUUAAUAAUUUAUCUAUAUAUAUGUUUUAUGUAAGUACAAAUUAAACAUUAUAUUGUUGGUUUUUUAUUCACAAUGAAUUAUCUCUAACUUUCUUAAAAUUUCAAUAUAUUUUAAUGAUAUUUAGUGAAACUAUAUCUAAAAUCACAUUUGAAUUCUAUGAAACAUAAAAAUAUGCACAACAAAAUAUAGUAAAUCAAUAUGGAAGUCUAAUUUCUAAAAUUAAUUAAUGUAUAUACAAUAAAAUCAACUAUUUUGAAUUCUAUAAAUAAAAAUAGAAAAAAAACUAAAAAAGAAGUUUUUAUAAAUUAAUAACUUUAUAAAUUAAUAAAAUAUUAUAGUCCCAACAUUUUUAAUUUAUAAAGUUUUUACUGUAUAGAUAUUUCUUUGUUUUUUGUAAUCACAUUAUUUUGAUAAAAAUAUUUUUAUAAAGUAUACAAACAAAAAAAGUUAAAUUUGCAUACAUAUCUUAAGUAUAGGAAAUAUAUUUCUUUUUCAAAUGUUGAAGUGUGUUGAUGAGUUUCGACUAUAAGAGGGUCAUACAAAAAUCUUAGUAAUAAUAUUUUUAGAUAAAAAAAAGUCCAAAACAGAAUUUAGGUUAUUGAAUUAAAAUUUAGAAGAUUGUGUUCUAUUUUAUAUACUUUCAAAACAACAUAAUCAUGUACUUUUAAAUCAUGACCAUUUUGGACAUAGUCAAAUGAACUUAUAAAAUUUUAAGGUUAUAGACCAUAGUUUAGAGCCUCAAAAAUUUAAUAAAAGUAAUUUACAUAAACGUACAUUCUGAAAUUAUAACUCUUAAAAUUAAAUUCUUUGUAAAUUAAUUAUAGCCCGUCCAUGAUUUACAGUGGAUCAAAUCACAGAAACCCAUCAGUUCUACUAUAUAUUUGUCAUCCAGAAUCUUUUCUUUUGCGGUAUGGAAAUUAGAUAUUAUUGUAUAGCUAAAUAUGAGAAUCCAAAUAACCUUUUAUAACAAAGAAAAACUAAAGUGAAAAUCAAAAUCAUAUAAAAUUGAAACUAAAUGUUGAUGAGUAAGAGCACCGUCGCAAUAACAUCCAUUGGACUAAUAAUCAUCAUCACAGUAAACUUACAAAGCAUCAAAGUUUCACAAAACACAUUCUUAAUAACAUACAUAGACUUGACUAUCAGAACUAGCGGAACAGGCAACUGAUGAUAAAACUCUAUGAUUGUUAAAUACCUCAACAGCUACUUCAUUCAGCUGAGAGAGGGAUUGGUUUCACAGCGCUUUGAAUCCGAUGAAAAGCUACUCUCACUCUUUCUUUUAGACCUUCAUGCUCACCCUCUACAUCUCCACUCUCUUUAUCAAGAUGAGCGACAUUGCCAUCGACACUAAUCACCAGCUUCCCAUUCUCUCCAAGUUUCACAUCCCCGAAGAGCGACACAAGAAGAGCAUAUAUCACUUUUUCCACUUUUUUCCCAUUCUCUUCUUCGGAUUUCACAGCAACUUCUUCCUCCGCAACGAUCUUGGGGACUUCCCGGCUGAUGUUGAGAACCAGAGCCACAAUGGAGUCUGAAACCAUGUCACUUAUUGGAUCAGAUGACCACUGAAGCGAGAUGUGCUUCUCUGACUCUUGCUUCACGGUUACUCUUUCGUGUACUUUCAGUGCUGGAAGACCGGUUUCCUCGUCCGUUGAAGAUUCAACGCUCUCGAAAAUCUUCCCGAGGCGAUGUGUUAUCACACCGAAAGCUCCAGAGAAAGGGAUAGUUAUCCGCUGAGUAACAGUUGCUGUCGAUAGCUGUGAGAAAACAUGGAGAUCAUCAGGUGCCAUUAUCUGAUAAGCGAAACCUUUCUUCACCAGAAUCCCACUCACUGAAUCUCCAACAUCAGGUGUCUUCUCAGCCAAUCUCCCAAUGGUUUUCGCCAUUUUCUCAGAGUUGAAGUACAUUUCAACCGACUCACAGUUCUUCGGAUUCAUGAUCCUCGUGUUUCCAUCAGGAAACUCCGUGAAG
rnacentral:lncRNA from 1 species